rnacentral:rRNA from 1 species
GACGAACGCUGGCGGCGUGCUUAACACAUGCAAGUCGAACGGGAUAAUUCGAGCGCUUGCUCUUGGAGAAUCUGGUGGCAAACGGGUGAGUAACACGUAGACAACCCGCCAACAGGAUGGGGACAACAUUAAGAAAGGAAUGCUACUGCCGAAUGAAGCGGAGGAGAGGCAUCUCUCCUCCAUGAAAGUUGGCCUCUGAAUAAGCUAUCGCCUGUCGAUGGGUUUGCGUCUGAUUAGCUAAUUGGUGAGGUAACGGCUCGCCAAGGCGACGAUCAGUAGCCGGUCUGAGAGGAUGAGCGGCCACACUGGGACUGAGACACGGCCCAGACUCCUACGGGGGGCAGCAAGGGGGAAUCUUGCGGAAUGGGCGGAAACCUGACGGAGCAACGCCGCGGGAGUGAAGAAGGUCUUCGGGUCGGAAAGCUCUGUUGACGGGGACGAACGUGCUAAGGGUGGAUAAGCCUUGGUAAUGACGGUACCUGUCGAGGAAGCCACGGCUAACUACGUG